UACAGAGGUCUCAAGCGUUGUUCGGAUUCAUUGGGCGUAAAGGGUGCGUAGGCGGCGCGGUAAGUCGGGUGUGAAAUCUCGGGAGCUUAACUCCGAAACUGCAUUCGAUACUGCCGUGCUUGAGGACUGGAGAGGAGACUGGAAUUUACGGUGUAGCGGGUGAAAUGCGUAGAUAUCGUAAGGAACACCAGUGGCGAAGGCGGCCACCUGGACGGGUAACUGACGCUGGAGACGCGAAAGCGUGGGGAGCAAACAGG
rnacentral:rRNA from 1 species